CGCGUAGGCGGCUUGGCAAGUCAGAUGUGAAAGCCCCGGGCUUAACCCGGGAAUUGCAUCUGAAACUGCUUUGCUUGAGUCCUGGAGGGGGUAGUGGAAUUCCCAGUGUAGCGGUGAAAUGCGUAGAUAUUGGGAGGAACACCUGCGGCGAAGGCGGCUACCUGGACAGUGACCGACGCUGAGGCGCGAAAGCUAGGGGAGCGAACG
rnacentral:rRNA from 1 species